rnacentral:rRNA from 1 species
AUGACCGGAGGUCUUCCAAACGCAGCUGUUGAGAAUCUCAGAAACUUGCAACAACUGAACAUAUCUGGGAAUAGCUUGGACGGAAGCCUCCCAGCUUCGCUAUUCGCACUUCCUCACCUAAAGAUCCUAGAUCUCUCCUCCAAUGACUUCGAUGGGCAUAUUUCAAUAGGCUCAUUCUCAGGGCCAAUUUCACUUGAAGUCCUAGAUCUCGGUUUUAAUCGCCUCAACGGAACUCUCCCGGUUAGAGCUUUUAAACACAUCAGGAGCUUGAAUUUGGGUCACAACCAGUUUAGCGGAUCUCUCCCUGUGUCAUUAUUUGCACUUCCUCAGCUGAAUUCCCUAGAUCUCUCGUAUAAUUACUUUGAGGGACAUUUUCCUACUAGUGUGUCUUCAGAACCAGUUCAGCUUGAAGUCUUACAUCUAGAGUCUAAUAUGUUGAGUGGAGCUCUUCCGACUGAACGAGGUACACAAUGA